UAAACCUCACCCCUCAAAAAUUGUGUAA
rnacentral:piRNA from 1 species